rnacentral:lncRNA from 1 species
AUUACCAAUAUAUAUAUAUAUAUAUGACAAAAUGGCUAUUGGAUAAACUAAUAUUGUGGAGCCUGUAACAUGUGAUGCUACCUUGGUCAUUGCUGUCAAAGAACAAAAAUAUGGCCAUGCGGAAUAAUAUGGCCAUGUGAUUGAUGCUAACUUGGUCAUGUGCUCUAACUCCUAACAAGAGUUGUCCUCAUCUCUGAAACUUCCAUACUCUUACAUUUUUUCUAAAUCUCAAUUAUUACUCCAUGUUCAGGAAAUUUUUUUAUUUUUAGUAAGAUCCAGAUCUAGCUAAUUUUAUAUAUUUCAGCACAAAGACAACAAAAACAAAAACAAAAAACAAAAAAAAAAAAGGUAUACAAAGGUUAUAUAAUUAUAUGGAAUUAAAUUUGAGAAGAAUUAAGAGACUGACCAAGAUUCCUUUAAGAUUAAUGAUAGUCUUGUUUGCCUUGUUGUUGUGGUAUAGAAUGGUAUGUGCCAAUUGAGGUACAUAAUGACCAGCAUAACUCUCUCCAGAUAUGUAAAAAUCUCUAUCUUUGUAUUCAGGAAAUCUUUCCAGCCAAUUUACUAAGAACUUAUAAUUAUCUUUAGCUGUUUUUCUAUCUCCACCAAUCUUAACAUCAGAUGAUGUGUUAGAGUAGGAAAAACCUACUCCUGCUGGAGACUCCAAGAAUAACACAUUGGC